rnacentral:rRNA from 1 species
AAGACCUUGCACUUUUGGAGCGGCCGAUGUCUGAUUAGCUAGUUGGUGGGGUAAUGGCCUACCAAAGCUUCGAUCAGUAGCUGGUCUGAGAGGACGGCCAGCCACACUGGGACUGAGACACGGCCCAGACUCCUACGGGAGGCAGCAGUGGGGAAUUUUGGACAAUGGGCGCAAGCCUGAUCCAGCCAUGCCGCGUGAGUGAAGAAGGCCUUCGGGUUGUAAAGCUUUUUCAGUCGGGAAGAAAAGGUUGCGACUAAUAAUCGCAAUUCAUGACGGUACCGGAAGAAGAAGCACCGGCUAACUACGUGCCAGCAGCCGCGGUAAUACGUAGGGUGCGAGCGUUAAUCGGAAUUACUGGGCGUAAAGGGUGCGCAGGCGGUUUUGUAAGUCAGAUGUGAAAUCCCCGGGCUUAACCUGGGAACU